UUUGUGAGGCUGACUCAAUAUCUUCAUGAUUUAUAAAAAAAAAUUACAUGCUAAAAGCCCAUUAUACAUUAAUUAUUUAAAUACAUAUUGCUAAAAGCCCAUUACAUAUUUUGCAGGUAUAACCACACAUCUCUACUCAAUUUAGGGUUUACACACAAAAGAUCAACUGCGCCGCCCACUUCUCCAGCCGUAAAUCUCCUCUUUUCCCAGACGAUAGAAAUCACCUCUAAUUCCCCUAUUCCCUCGUCUGCAUCUCAAUUCCAGCCCCUCCUCCCUCGUCUGCAUCUCAAUUCCAGUAUUCCUCUUCUCUCUGCGUUGCUUCCUGUCGUGGUGGCUCUCACCGCCUUCGCCGUCCUCUCAUCGACAUUCACUUGGUGAAUAGUCUUUUUUUUUAUUUUGAUAUUCUGGUAUAUCUAGCAAAAAACAUAGUUCAGAUUUUGAGAGUUACAGAUAAGUAUUAUCAAAGCUAAGUAUUGAUUAUUGUUUUUUCAUAUGUUACUAUUUUCUUCAUAUUUCUUCAGAAAAAAAUUACUGUUUGUCAUCUAUGUACCUUAUCUUAAUGAUUUGUUUUUACUUUA